rnacentral:rRNA from 1 species
UACGGAAGGUCCGGGCGUUAUCCGGAUUUAUUGGGUUUAAAGGGAGCGUAGGCCGGAGAUUAAGCGUGUUGUGAAAUGUAGACGCUCAACGUCUGCACUGCAGCGCGAACUGGUUUCCUUGAGUACGCACAAAGUGGGCGGAAUUCGUGGUGUAGCGGUGAAAUGCUUAGAUAUUAGGAGGAACACCAGUGGCGAAGGCGGCUUACUGUACGACUACUGACGCUGAGGCUCGAAAGCGUGGGGAGCAAACAGG